rnacentral:rRNA from 1 species
UUUUUAAAAGAAAACUUAGGUUAGUUGUACUUUUUUGUUGGGGCGACAAAGUAGCAUAUAAAGCAUACUUAAAAAAUCUGGACAAGCCUAAAUAUAUAAGUGAAUAUAACUACCUAAGGGAUAACAGCAUAAUUUUAUUUUAAGAUUGUGACCUCGAUGUUGGACUAGGGACUUAAUAUGUUAGCCACAUAUUAAGAGGAUUCUGUUCGAAUUUAAAUUACCU